rnacentral:rRNA from 1 species
UCUACGGGUGGCUGCAGUGGGGAAUAUUGCACAAUGGGCGCAAGCCUGAUGCAGCCAUGCCGCGUGUGUGAAGAAGGCCUUCGGGUUGUAAAGCACUUUCAGCGGGGAGGAAGGCGGUGAGGUUAAUAACCUCAUCGAUUGACGUUACCCGCAGAAGAAGCACCGGCUAACUCCGUGCCAGCAGCCGCGGUAAUACGGAGGGUGCAAGCGUUAAUCGGAAUUACUGGGCGUAAAGCGCACGCAGGCGGUCUGUCAAGUCGGAUGUGAAAUCCCCGGGCUCAACCUGGGAACUGCAUUCGAAACUGGCAGGCUAGAGCCUUGUAGAGGGGGGUAGAAUUCCAGGUGUAGCGGUGAAAUGCGUAGAGAUCUGGAGGAAUACCGGUGGCGAAGGCGGCCCCCUGGACAAAGACUGACGCUCAGGUGCGAAAGCGUGGGGAGCAAACAGGAUUAGAUACCCGAGUAGUC